rnacentral:rRNA from 1 species
UACAGAGGGUGCAAGCGUUAAUCGGAAUUACUGGGCGUAAAGCGUGCGUAGACGGUUGCGUAAGUCAGAUGUGAAAGCCCCGGGCUCAACCUGGGAAUUGCAUUUGAGACUGCGUAGCUAGGGUGCGGAAGAGGGAAGCGGAAUUUCCGGUGUAGCGGUGAAAUGCGUAGAUAUCGGAAGGAACAUCAGUGGCGAAAGCGGCUUCCUGGACCAGUACCGACGUUCAGGCACGAAAGCGUGGGGAGCAAACAGG